rfam:Tupaia chinensis contig56887, whole genome shotgun sequence.
GUCUAUGAUUAUACCACCCUAAACAAGUCUAAUCUCAUCUGACUUCAGAAGCUGAGCAGGGUUAGCCUGAUUAGUACUUAGAUAGGAGGCUGGGAAUACCAGGUACUGUAACAA